rnacentral:sRNA from 1 species
CUGUGCGCAUUUUUUUCUGUACGGCGGCAAAGGACGAUGAUUCAGGGAUGAUUCGAGAAGCAGCCAAGAAGCGAACAACUGUUUCUGUUUCCAAAACUGGAGCACUGAGGCCUGGGAAAGGAAAGGUGCACUCUGGAGAGGAAGCCCCCCUUUCUCCAUGUAGAAAAUACUACAGCUGUGUGGGCAGGAGCCCAGCUACAAGAACAGCCACGAGUGGGGGGCUGACAACCCUUCUGCAGACUCCUCUACUAGGAAACUGAGGCUAUGUGCAGCAUGGCUUCACACUGAGGGGCCAUGCCCUCUGGUCUUUGUAUGGCCCAGUGUCCUUCCAGCCUCUGGGAUGACUUCAUUUGUUGCUGUAUACAAAUGACGGCUCUUGAGGAGUAAUCUAAAUCUACUGGCACUUCUAAUUGUAAGCAUGUGUUUUCAACAACACUGGAUGUGGCUCCCCUGCCCGCAGGAGUGGUGGCUGUUAGAAACUGAUUGACCAGGCAACCUGGAAACAGACUGACCAGUACAGAAGCAGAACCAUCCUUUAAUGAGAACAAUGAAGAACAGUUGUCUCUCAUGCAGUGGAGGCCGCCAGUGUGUGCUUCGGGCUUUAUAGGGCUGAAGAGGGAUUUGUGAAAGGGAAGUUUUAGCUGUUGAUGUGGACUUUGUAGUUUCAAGGCCCAGUGUCAGCAGAAGUUCUCAUUACCUGACUUUCAUGUUGGACAGGUGUUCUUAUCAGUACCCUGGGUCUGGAGUUCCUCCUUGUCUUUGAAGUUCCCUGUUUUAGACCGAGGUUAUCUGGCAAGCCAGAUAGAAGCUACUGGGACCUGAAGUAGCCUCUCGCGUGGAUAUUCCAAAGCAAGGUCCACAAAAAGAACUCUACAACCCUGGAGUCAAAACAGGCCCAGGACAGACUUGCAAUCAAUUAAAUAACCUAGAGGAGCAGGGACUUUGUAUCAAGGUACAGGUUUGUAGACGCCUACGUGUCCAGGCUGAAUUGAUCAAAAAGUAGCCAUGUGAACACAGGUCUUAUUCAAGAUCUCUUUUGUGUCAGUAUCUCUCCUUGAUUCAGCAUCCAAGGACACACAGUUCUGUGUGGGCAGAUUGAAGAAAGACAGGCUACCCUAUGCUGUCCAGUCCCAGCACAGUACAUCCUCUAUGCUCGGGGUUUGCUUAGCUGACACCUUGGCCAAGGCUUCUUUCUGCCUUCACUGGUGCCUACGAGUUCGGUAACAAGUAUUGAAGUGUGCCCCUUGUAACGCCGACGUGUGUUUUCCGUUUAUUACUUCCUGUGGACUGAGGGUAACUCAUAGAACUGCAGUGCGUGCUGAAGAGUGUGGACUAUGCCCAGAAGGACACUCACAGACAAAAUGGUCUCCUGUUCUCAUCUUUCCAGCACUCCUCUCGUCUGGUCUCUUCUCCACUAGUCGGAGUCUGAGAUGCGUGUGUGGUUUUUUUAGACUUCCCUAAAAGGUCCCCUGCCCAAGCUGGGGGCCGCAUCGUGGGUUACUCCAACCUGUUUGUCUUCUCAACUCCUGGAUCCACUGAAAACUACCGUGUUCCUAACUCACUGUAGUCAAGCUUCUUGGGUGUGGGGAGUAUUGUUUGGAAUUUUGUUGUUGCUGCUGCUGCUGCUGCUGCUGCAGCUGUUUGUUUUGGAGACAGAAUCUUGAGUAGCCCAGGGUGGCCUCAAUCUAACUGUGUAACUGAGGCAGGUCUUGAGCUCUCGAUAGUCUUGCCUCAGCUUCUUAGGUACUGGAAUGACCUCAUGUGCCACCACACCUGGCUUCCUUGUGAUAAAGUCUUGCUUUCUGCCUUAUGUGGCAACGCUGGUCUGUCAGCCAGACAUGUUCAUGGGUUUAUUCUCUUCCUCACCAGGAUCUCCCCCUGGACACUUGACCUCAUAAAAACCAGAGCCCUGAGAUGGAGCCAAGGACAUGCAUAAAGCUGUAGCCGGAAGAGAACAGAUGACUGAGGGAAAUAAUUUUAGGACAUUUUGGGAAUGGCAGAUGCUAAGUGGCUUCCAGGUUUUUAAAUGUUCUCUGUUGUGCUCUGUUUACUUUAUGACCAGUCCAUGUUUUGUCACUGAGGUACUCAGACCUUAUAAAAAGAAAAACUUUAGCUUGCAGUUUGAAAAGCUUUAAAAUCGAA